AUUGAACGCUGGCGGCAGGCCUAACACAUGCAAGUCGAGCGGAUGAAGGGAGCUUGCUCCUGGAUUCAGCGGCGGACGGGUGAGUAAUGCCUAGGAAUCUGCCUGGUAGUGGGGGAUAACGUCCGGAAACGGGCGCUAAUACCGCAUACGUCCUGAGGGAGAAAGUGGGGGAUCUUCGGACCUCACGCUAUCAAAUGAGCCUAGGUCGGAUUAGCUAGUUGGUGGGGUAAAGGCCUACCAAGGCGACGAUCCGUAACUGGUCUGAGAGGAUGAUCAGUCACACUGGAACUGAGACACGGUCCAGACUCCUACGGGAGGCAGCAGUGGGGAAUAUUGGACAAUGGGCGAAAGCCUGAUCCAGCCAUGCCGCGUGUGUGAAGAAGGUCUUCGGAUUGUAAAGCACUUUAAGUUGGGAGGAAGGGCAGUAAGUUAAUACCUUACUGUUUUGACGUUACCAACAGAAUAAGCACCGGCUAACUUCGUG
rnacentral:rRNA from 1 species